rnacentral:rRNA from 1 species
AUAUAACUAAGCGGAGGAAAAGAAACUAACAAGGAUUCCCUUAGUAACGGCGAGUGAACCGGGAAAAGCUCAGACUGAAAACCUUCGGGAAUGUGGUCUGGAGAUGGGAUAUCGAAUCUUCGGAAGCUGAUAAAGUGGUCUGGAAUGACCCGCCGUGGAGGGUGACAGCCCCGUUCGUAUCAGUGGAAAGGGAAAGUAGAUACCUAUCAACGAGUCGAGUUGUUUGGGAUUGCAGCUCAAAGCGGGAGGUAAAUUCCUUCUAAAGCUAAAUAUCGAUAGGAGACCGAUAGCGCACAAGUA